CGAUGAGCUUGUGGUUCGCUACGUCUCCGCUACGGAGGACGACAUGUUCCGGGAGGCAACCGGAAGGUUGCUGGUUCGAUCCCCCUUGUUCAGGUGUCCCUGAGCCAGACACCUCACCCCGACUGCUCCUGACGAGCUGGCUGUCGCCAUAUGUGGUGGACACCGCCGUCCGUGAGUGAAUGAGUGCGGGAAUGGGUGAAAGUUUGGCAGUAUUGAUGUAGGGCGGUCUACGUGGCCGCUGUUUAGGAAGCGUUCUAUAAAAGCAGUCCUGCAUUCAUCCCGGAGCUCCAGCUGUAUGUCGGCCUUCACUCAGAGAACCACCGCUGCCAGCUAGCUCAGCCCUCGUUACUGACAAGACACCGCCGCGAGACAGGGUUCGACAGUGGAUACAGAAAACGGUAAAUAGGGAGCAGGUAGGGGUUAGACAGUACAGAGACAGGUCAUUAAGGAGCAGGUAGGGGUUAGACAGUAUAGAGACAGGUCAUUAAGGAGCAGGUUGGGGUUAGACAGUACAGAGACAGGUCAUUAAGGAGCAGGUAGGGGUUAGACAGUAGAGACAGGUCAUAAAGGAGCAG
ensembl:lncRNA